rnacentral:rRNA from 1 species
CGGAGGGUGCAAGCGUUAUCCGGAUUCACUGGGUUUAAGGGGUGCGUAGGUGGGUUGGUAAGUCAGUGGUGAAAUCUCCGAGCUUAACUUGGAAACUGCCAUUGAUACUAUCAGUCUUGAAUAUUGUGGAGGUCAGCGGAAUAUGUCAUGUAGCGGUGAAAUGCUUAGAUAUGACAUAGAACACCAAUUGCGAAGGCAGCUGGCUACACAUAUAUUGACACUGAGGCACGAAAGCGUGGGGAUCAAACAGGAUUAGAUACCCUGGUAGUCCACGCCCUAAACUAUGGAUACUCGACAUACGCGAUACACAGUGUGUGUCUGAGCGAAAGCAUUAAGUAUCCCACCUGGGAAGUACGAUCGCAAGAUUG